rnacentral:rRNA from 1 species
UACACUCCUACGGGAGGCAGCAGUGGGGAAUUUUGGACAAUGGGCGAAAGCCUGAUCCAGCAAUGCCGCGUGAGUGAAGAAGGCCUUCGGGUUGUAAAGCUCUUUUGUCAGGGAAGAAACGGUGAAAGCUAAUAUCUUUUGCUAAUGACGGUACCUGAAGAAUAAGCACCGGCUAACUACGUGCCAGCAGCCGCGGUAAUACGUAGGGUGCAAGCGUUAAUCGGAAUUACUGGGCGUAAAGCGUGCGCAGGCGGUUUUGUAAGUCUGAUGUGAAAUCCCCGGGCUCAACCUGGGAAUUGCAUUGGAGACUGCAAGGCUAGAAUCUGGCAGAGGGGGGUAGAAUUCCACGUGUAGCAGUGAAAUGCGUAGAUAUGUGGAGGAACACCGAUGGCGAAGGCAGCCCCCUGGGUCAAGAUUGACGCUCAUGCACGAAAGCGUGGGGAGCAAACAGGAUUAGAUACCCCAGUAGUCCCA